UCAGGAUCUCAGCCAUGGCCACC
rnacentral:misc_RNA from 1 species